UAGGGAAUCUUCCACAAUGGACGCAAGUCUGAUGGAGCAACGCCGCGUGAGUGAAGAAGGUUUUCGGAUCGUAAAGCUCUGUUGUUGGUGAAGAAGGAUAGAGGCAGUAACUGGCCUUUAUUUGACGGUAAUCAACCAGAAAGUCACGGCUAACUACGUGCCAGCAGCCGCGGUAAUACGUAGGUGGCAAGCGUUGUCCGGAUUUAUUGGGCGUAAAGCGAGCGCAGGCGGAAGAAUAAGUCUGAUGUGAAAGCCCUCGGCUUAACCGAGGAACUGCAUCGGAAACUGUUUUCUUGAGUGCAGAAGAGGAGAGUGGAACUCCAUGUGUAGCGGUGGAAUGCGUAGAUAUAUGGAAGAACACCAGUGGCGAAGGCGACUCUCUGGUCUGCAACUGACGCUGAGGCUCGAAAGCAUGGGUAGCGAACAGGAUUAGAUACCCUGGUAGUCCAUGCCGUAAACGAUGAGUACUAAGUGUUGGGAGGUUUCCGCCUCUCAGUGCUGCAGCUAACGCAUUAAGCACUCCGCCUGGGGAGUACGACCGCAAGGUUGAAAC
rnacentral:rRNA from 1 species